UGAAGAGCUGAUUAAGGUUCACCCUGCACAGCUGGAAGUCUUCUCUCAUUUACUCACAGGACUGCGCUUGUCCCCACAUUCUCAAAUAUCGAGAAAAUAAGAUUACCUACAUCUAAUCUACACUACAUAACGUGACAGCGCCCCAAGGCCGGACUAGUCUCCGCCUCCCAGCCCUCCCCAUCUGGCACUUCACGGUCACCGCAGCUACCCGGACACUCCCGGACCUCCGGGUCCUAGGCACCUCGAGGUGUCAGCGCAGCUCUGCGCUACACCGGUCGCCCCAAGCGACAACCACAAGGCUCCGUGUGGGAGUGAGACCCGGCCUCCACCAGCCCAGGGACCAGGAAGUGGCAGUGGUAGUCUGUGGGCUAGCAUUCCCCCUGGGUAGGUGUAUGAAAGCUGCAAACAAGGUUGCAUCAGGAGACCUUUCAGGAAGACCUGCCAUAGCUUUCUCCUCUGCUGCUAAUUUGAAGCAAGAGUCCUUUGCUCCCAGAAUCAGACUGCACUCAGAACCAUUGUUGGGGCAGUCUGGACACUGUUGCUGAGGAAGUCUGGAAACUGUGGCUGACCCAUUGUCCUUGGCCCCUCCCAGCUGGUGGUGUAGCUUCUGAUGGCAGGGCAGUUUCUGACUGGCUGCCUGAGAUCUUGAGUUUUUUUCAGUAACUGAAUUGCCUACUUCUUGGAAACAGCGAUUUAGGCCUAGUCCCCUGAACUGCCAAUUGGAAGCCUGUUCUGGAUUCAGCCUGUCUCAGAGGAAAAUGGAGAAGGACACUUUCUGGAAGUUACAUAUCACAUCUGCAGGCAUCCCAAAAGCCAGACUCCAUUUACAUCUGGUUAAAGAAUGAUUUAUAGUGUUUAAAAGAUUGUUUCAAAUCCCUGCCUUCAAGAGGAUCACUAAUAAUGCAGAAUUUAAAUAUUAAAGAGAAGCAGACUAAGUUGUAUCUGAAAUACGGUUAUCAAUGAUGACAGCUUAGAAGGGAAGAGAAACUCUCAGUGAUGGAGAUUGAGAGUGUACUGCUGCCAUUGGUCUAGGCAGCUUCUCUCUGUCAGAACUGUAUUAUAGCAGGGCUAUUUCUAUUCGAGAUGCGGUGUCUUUGUGUUCAGAGGUUAGGGUAGAUUGACCUUUUGAGUAACAGGGGUUUUGAAAAUUUUUUGUUUGCCAAAGUUGUUUUAAUGAGGAGAAAGAAAAAUUUUCUCCCUACUUUAUCACAGGGGUAUUUUGCAGUAGGCACGUGUUGAAAUGGUGUUCCUGUAAAUGUUUAAGCUUUUUGUCCUGGGCUUACAUUGUAUUGAGGUACCCUGGUGAGGCUACUUCAGGGAGCUUCAGCUUUUCUCCAUUUUAAGUCUGGAAAGCACUUGAAGUCAGAGUAACAUAUAAAACCUUGCACACAGCAGACAUGGAGAUGCACGCCUUUAAUCCCAGCACUAGUGUGGGGGUGGGGGACAGGGUCCAGAGGUCGGUGGCUGUCUUAGUUAGGGUUUCUAUUCCUGCACAAACAUCAUGACAAAGAAGCAGGUUGGGGAGGAAAACAUCUCUUCAGCUUUUACUUCCCACAUUGUUGUUCAUCACCAGAAGUCAGGGCUGUAAUUCAAGCAGAUCAGGAAGCACAAACUGAUGCAGAGGCCAUAGAAGGAUGUUACUUACUGGCUUGCUUCCUCUGCAUUGCUCAGCUUGCUUUCUUAUAGAAUCCAGGACUACCAGCCCAGGGAUGGCACCACCCACAAUGGGCCCUCCACACUUGAUCACUAAUUGAGAAAAUGCCUUAUAGCUGGAUCUCAUGGAGGCAUUUCCUCAACUGAGGCUCCUUUCUCUGUGAUAACUCCAGCCUGUGUCAAGUUGACACACAAAACCAGCCAGUACAGUUGCUCUCUGUGAGUUUGAGACCAACAUGGUCUACAUAGUGAGUUUCAGGCCUCAUAGGACUUUAUACUUAAACUUUAUCUAGCAAAUAACAACAAAACACAAAUUAAUGCAAAGAAAAAAUGUGCACUUAUGUGAAAUUUUUGAGAAAAAUAGUUCUGUACUGAUCAAUAUAUUUCUAAGUGUUAUAUGAUCUGUUUGCAACUCUCGCCCCAAAAUUACGAUAUAUUAUUUGGUCCUAAGUCAGUAGAUCUUAAUUCUAACUAUGGUUAUGAUGUAACUUAUAAAGAAGUAGAAUGAUUUUUUUUUUUUUUUAUCAUUGAAAAUGUCAUCCUUACAGAGGGAAUAAGAGAACAAAGAGUUUCUCAGGGGUAAAGAGUUUCUAGUAUAUUGUCCCUCCUUGCUCUUUAAUCUUUGACAGUAGCAGUUCUUGCAUAGUGUUAAGCAUGAAGUAGAGAUCAUAUAAACAGUACAAAGAUGGUGGCAGUGCAUGCAACUCUGUAUCCAAGCACUUGAUGAGUGGAGAUAGGAGGCUUGAGAGUUCAAGAUCAUCCUCUGCUACAUAGCAAGUUUGAGGACCACUUACAUUAUACAACAUCUUGCUUCAAAAAAAAAAAAAUUAGAGAAAGGGAAAGACAUGGGAUAGGGGAUGGAGAGAGAGCUACAGUGAAAGAUAGAGUAUGCAAAUGACAUUGGCUCAUGUAAUAAAAUUGUUAAAGUGCCACAGUCAGUACAUAUUAUUUAGUUACACAUAGAAGGUAUAAAGACCCAAGAAGAUAUUAUUAGUAUUUGUUAAGGUCUUUUUGUUUUUGUUUGUUUUCUAAAAUAUUGUCUCUCUGUGUGUCAUAGUUACGGUUUUACUGCUGUGAACAGACACCAUGACCAAGGCAAGUCUCAUAAAUAACAACCUUUAACUGGGGCUAACUUACAGGUUCAGAGGUUCAGUCCAUCAUCCAGGCAGUCAGGGUGUAGGAGAAGCUCAGAGUUCUGCAUCUUCAUCUGAAGGCUGCUAGCAGAAUACUGGUUUCUAGGCAGCCCAGGGUCUUAAAGCCAACACCCACAAUGACACACCUACUCCAACAGGGCCACACCUCCCAAUAGUGCCACUCCCUGGGCCAAACAUAGGCAAACCAUAACACUCUCUUUCAAACAAAAAUGGCUUCUGCCCUGUUCAGUACAGAUGCUCACAUCAGUAGGUGGUCUCACCAAACUGGAAACUCCUGAACAACCUUGACUACUCAUCUCCCUGUCUUAUGUGUGAUAGUUGCUUUUAUGAUUCAACUUGAUCGCGCCAUAGGAUGAUCAGAUCACUCCGGACAAGUACCCUUCUGCUGGGUCUACACAAUGUUAACAUUUCAAUAAGUGAGGCUGAAUGAAGGAGAUGCUUUUUUCCAAUAUAAGUGCACAUUAAUCCAUCACCAGAAGGCUUGAAUGGAAUUAAAACCCAGCCUCCUGUGGCCAAGGGUGUACUUUUGGAGACUGCCUUCUGACUUCCAUGGAACACCAGAUUUCUGGGUCUCUCCCAGCCACCCAGUGAAAGUUUGGGACUUGUUAGUUUCUAUAGUGAAGGACAUAAUUUCUUAGACCCUAUUUUACUUACAUAUUCCACCUCCCCAGACGACUUUGGUUCCCUCUUUCGACAUACUAAUAUAUCAUAUUAAUUCAUCAACAAGUAUGUUUUGUUCUGAUUCCAAAAUAUAUCCAACAGUCAUUUAUUUUGUUCUGUUUCUACUGCCAAUAAAUUCUAAAAGUCACAAAUCUCCCUCUAAAUGAUGAUAAUAGCCUCUGCUACAACCAAAUAUGGAAGGUUUGACAAGGCUAUCAGUGUUAAAAAUUUGGUUUCCAGAUUGUUGCUAGUAGGAUAUGAUGAAAGACUUGGGAGACCGUGGACAUGAUACAUGGUUAGGAGGCUAGUGUUUCUCCUCACUGUGAAGCAAAGACGGAUUUUACAUUCUCUCCUAUGAGCACCUGUCUCAGCACAGGGUUAUAGGCAAUGAGGCCAUUCAACCAUGGAGAGAAAUCUCAGAAACUGUGAAACAAAAAUCAACAUUGUUUAUCAUAA